CAUUGGUUAGCUCAGUGGGUAGAGCACCAGACCAUGACUCUGGAAGUCGCGGGUUCGAUUCCCGUACCAAGCC
rnacentral:tRNA from 1 species